rnacentral:rRNA from 1 species
GACGAACGCUGGCGGCGUGCUUAACACAUGCAAGUCGAACGGAAAGGCCCUGCUUUUGUGGGGUACUCGAGUGGCGAACGGGUGAGUAACACGUGAGUAACCUGCCCUUGACUUUGGGAUAACUUCAGGAAACUGGGGCUAAUACCGGAUAGGAGCUCCUGCUGCAUGGUGGGGGUUGGAAAGUUUCGGCGGUUGGGGAUGGACUCGCGGCUUAUCAGCUUGUUGGUGGGGUAGUGGCUUACCAAGGCUUUGACGGGUAGCCGGCCUGAGAGGGUGACCGGCCACAUUGGGACUGAGAUACGGCCCAGACUCCUACGGGAGGCAGGAGUGGGGAAUAUUGCACAAUGGGCGGAAGCCUGAUGCAGCAACGCCGCGUGCGGGAUGACGGCCUUCGGGUUGUAAACCGCUUUCGCCUGUGACGAAGCGUGAGUGACGGUAAUGGGUAAAGAAGCACCGGCUAACUACGUG